AUUGAACGCUGGCGGAAUGCUUUACACAUGCAAGUCGAGCGGCAGCGCGGGGCAACCUGGCGGCGAGCGGCGAACGGGUGAGUAAUACAUCGGAACGUGCCCAGACGUGGGGGAUAACUACUCGAAAGAGUGGCUAAUACCGCAUACGAUCUACGGAUGAAAGCGGGGGAUCGCAAGACCUCGCGCGUCUGGAGCGGCUGAUGGCAGAUUAGGUAGUUGGUGGGAUAAAAGCCUACCAAGCCAACGAUCUGUAGCUGGUCUGAGAGGAUGAUCAGCCACACUGGGACUGAGACACGGCCCAGACUCCUACGGGAGGCAGCAGUCGGGAAUUUUGGGCAAUGGGCGAAAGCCUGACCCAGCAACGCCGCGUGAAGGAUGAAGUAUUUCGGUAUGUAAACUUCGAAGAAUAGGAAGAAUUAAUGACGGUACUAUUUAUAAGGUCCGGCUAACUACGUG
rnacentral:rRNA from 1 species